ensembl:lncRNA
AUAUUAUGAACAGAUUUCUACAGUGUAUUUCCAUGUAUUUGCUGUACGCUCCUCAUUUAUGUAAAAGAUUUGCUGUAUGUUUUCCUUCACAAGUGGAGAAAUAGUCAGUAAUGUUAAGCUUUUGUUCAAGUCUGAGAAGCAAUAUUUUUUUAUGUAGAUCAGGAUAAUAGUUCCAAUUGAAAUAUCUUUCUAUCUUAAUAAUAUGAAGCUGAUAUUACCCAAGACUGCCAUUCUCACACACACGCACACAUACACACACACACACACAAAAAGCACACCAAUUGAAUCAGUCACAUAUUUCUCCAUAAUUCUAAAAUAUUUUAAAAUUAUAACUUUUCCAGUGACCAUUUGAAUGUCUCUAAAGUAAGUCUCUUCACAUGAAUGUGGUUACUUCUUAAGGCCUUUUCUUUCUUCCUACUGCAAAACCAGAUUGCAGGAUAAGAUGGACUGCUUACUGCUGAGUACUUGAUGUGAGAGGUGGGAAAUACACAUUAUUUAAUGUGAUUUUAGAAAUCAGUUGUUAAGGACUUCUGAAGAAAGAAGAAGAAUGAGUAACCGCAAGGUACAACAAGCAGGCUGAACGCCCAAGGAGAAGAGAAUGUUCAAAUCAUAGAAUAUCUCAAGCUGUAAGGGACCCAGAAGGAUGAUCGAGUUCAACUUCUGCAUGCAACUGAGUGAAACAGAAAGAUGCAUCAAUUAAGGAAGCUCCAGGAUAGAGCAGUAAAGAGCAUUAAGCAGCCAAAGAAGGUGGGAGAGAGCAACAUGUUAAGGCAUGUAAGGAACUGCCGAGAAUAAGAAGUGUCAAAUGAAAUAUACUUAGUGAUGUGAAACCCACAGUCACCAAACAGUGUUUUGCUUUAUAAAAACUAGAAGAUGGAAUUUAAGAUCAUGUAAAAUGGAAUGGAAUUUAUAAAGAACAGGAAUUUCUGAAGCGUGUAAGAGCAGUCUACACGUAUAUAGUCAGAACGCUGGUGUGCUUUUUAUGUUCUAGGAGCUCACGCUCAAACUAAAAAUUAAAACCUGCCUUCCAUGAAAAAUCCUAGGUCUGAUUCUUUGCCCACUGCAAUUAAUAGCAUCACUUCAACCUUAUCACUGACAGCAGACCCUAUCGCCCACUCCUACACAUCUAGGAGCCAUUUACCCAGAGACACCUGGUGACCCAGCCCAAGCAUGCAUGUGCUGCUUCUCUGUAAUCCUAAUUCCACAACUGUAUGUAGUCACGUUGUGGUGAGUCCAGUGCUCUCACAUUGGAUCUGUGUGUGUCCCUUCCUCCAUACCCUGAUUUUCACCUCUGGAAAGAUAAGAAACCAAAUCACUCAGAGUACUGCAAACUCCAGAGCUGGAAAGCCAAGCCCAAGAUGUCUCAGAAUUUGAGAAGUGUGCGUUUUUCUUCAAUGCAAUCCUUUUAAAAAUGCACCCCAUAUCUUCUGGAAUUCAUUUUCUCUUGCUGGACAUACUGUUUCUACAGUCAACUGUUUGCAUAUGGAUAAUAUAUAGUUAGUUAAAUACAUGCAUUCAAUGCACUUAAUACAUAUGCAAAAAAAUGCUGAUAGCUUUAUGUAAUGGUAGACCUGUGUUUUCAGCCUAAUCUAACAAACACUUUUGAGUUUUUGGAAUAUGCAUUUUAUUAUAAUCACUGUAUUUUUAAUAAAUCUGAGUGAUAUUUU